rnacentral:lncRNA from 1 species
GAUGGGCGAAUUGUCCUGCCAUGACAGCAGCAUCUCCCACACCCACAACGUCUGUCGCAUCUGCGGUGUCGGUCAGGUGUCCUGAAGGGGCAUCGUCGGAGCCUUCACCGGCGGUGGACCCUUUUGCAUAGAGGAUGCCCUUUGUCCGGGCGCGCUCUUCCUGGUGAGUAGUGUUUUUUUCCAUUCCUCUCUGCCAUUGUUUCUGGGUCCUUACCCGCCAUUCCUUUAGUUUGUAUGUAUCACACAAAACGAUGAAGGACGCGGCUCGUGCUGCGAGGGAAGGCACUUUUCCUUCAUCGGCGCCCGCGCCGUUGGUGCCGAUGGCAUAUCCGAGUGGCACGGUCGCGCUGAGCCACUCGGGGGAAGUUGUGUCAACGGUCGUGCCACCAUCAUGAUCGGAGGGCCUACAGGCCAGGCGAUGCUUCUGUGGUGGGCGCGCUCGGUGCCUUGCUGCCUCCACCUCCCUUAGGUUCCUUGUCCCUGAGUGCGGUGAAGGCGAGCCACUUGGGAGAGGUCGAGGUGGCGAGAGUGUCAUUGUGCCUUGAUGUCCCUUCAAGCGAGCCCGGUGGCGCCCUUGCGUCGGCGGUUUUGCCACCUCUGCCACCCCGACUCCUCCACCUCCGAGUGCGAAGAGGGUGGCUCUCGCGAUGCUACUGGCCCCUACAGUUGGGACCACUUUGGAGUAGUGCUCCGACGAUCUCUGUCCUCCUCUCGAGGUGACCAGAGCAAGAGAGGUCGAAGUAGAGGAGUGGGGGAUCGUCAAGAAGGCUUACACAUUGGCUUCCUAGAUCUCAUGGGUUAUCGAUGUGCCCAUGCCGCCAUUGAGGAGGUGGCAUCGAUUGCUUGCUCGACGAUCACAAGUCAGAUGCUUCCUGUUGGGAGCCUAGCUUACUGAAGAUCCUCAAAAUGCCUUUACCUUGCUAUAUGCAAAUGUGUUUCGGGUAUGCGGUAAAGAGCGGACAAAGUUGGGCUUUGACCGAAGCAAUGAAUAGAAGAGAUUUGUCUGUAUAUAUGCGCGGCAAGGACGUCGGUCGAAGGUUGCUGGCUUCGACGUAAAGAAAGGAUCAAGCGUGAGGUAGCAAAGGGGGAGAAGCAAAAGUCUUAUGAGACAAGAAAGAAAGGGAAAAGGCAAUAUUACCCCUGUACUAUUUGUUAAUCAUAUUUGUAAGCUUCGUGGGCAUGCAUGUAAUUUCAUGAGUGAUUGUUCGUCUUCCCUAUAAAUAGAUGAACAAUUCCGUGUAAAAAUUCACCUUUUUGAAGGUCCUUAGCUUCGUUCCACUUAGCCUUCGAAGUAUCUUCAAGCUAUCUUGCACAAAGAAGCCGAAGGUAUGUUUGUAAACUUAUUUAAUAUGAAGGGAAAUGGAAUGAAAGUGCUAAGGCAUAAGAGAUGAGUUUUUGCACUUUGUCAUCUAUCACCCUGUGGUUUGAUAUUCUUUCAUUCACAGUUCCUCUUAAGAACCUUCAUCCUCAAGGUCUUACUUCGAAGAAGUAACAACAUGUGGACGAAGGUUCAUAUUUCUAACUUGUGUUGCCUUUUUUGAUACCUUUAUCAAUCGAAAACAAGUGACCAACAUUGGUGCCCACCGUCGGUGAUUCCAUGACCACAACAACUUACAUCAUGCCACCAAAGUAGGCAACGUCAACCAGCUCUAUCCUCAGGACCUUGGACCCCAAUCAAGGGGACGAUGUUCUCCUCAGGGAGGCAAGAAACCAAAAGAGGAAGGUCAUUAGCCCAGAACCACAUGAUGAGGAGCUUGAUCAAGAGAUCAAUAACCUCGAAGUAAUCCACUAGCAAAUGGAGAGGCACAGGGAGAAGAUGCUUCGUCUUUCUGAGCUUCAGAAAAAAGAUUGACGAAGCAGCUGAAUAGAUGCGCAAUAUUGAAGCGCAAGAUCAAUACAAUUACAAGGAUCAAAACUAUGAGGGUCAUAAUCAUGACAAUAUUUGUCAUGAGUCAUUCAACUUCCAAGAUUUCAUUUAUGACGAAGCUUCACCACUAACACCAGAGCUGUAGGCGACACCCUGUCCACCAUUGUAUAGACCUCCUACACUACCAACGUUUGAUGGUCUAACUGACCCAAAGCAGUUUCUCAUGUGCUACGAAGCUACCAUAUCUUCAUAUGGUGGUAACUCAGCAGUAAUGGUGAAUUCCUUCAUCAUGGCGGUCAGGAAUGUGGCCUAGAAUUGGUAUUCAUCGCUUCAGCCAAGGACUGUCACUUUGUGGAAGAAGCUAAAAGAAAAUCUUGUAACUACCUGAUAGGGUUUCUAGUCAAAGCUUGUUACUGCUCAAGCCCUGUUUCAGUGCACUUAGGAUCCGGAUGUAUACCUUCGGUCAUUCAUCCGAAGGUUCCUUCGUCUAUGGGCUCAAGCACUAGCAGUUCAAGAUGACAUAGUCAUUGAAGUCAUGGUCAAGGGGCUCAGGCCAGGGUCAGCAGCCCAGUACUUUGCAAAUAAGCCUCCACAUUCUCUUGAGAAGUUGUUGCAAGAGUACAUAAGGGCCAACAACGACUUCUGCCAAAGAAGGGAGGAGUUACAAAGAUACACCGAAGCCGCCAGGGGCUUUGGCCAAAGAUUUCAUCCAAGGCAUGUCCAAAGCAUCCAUAACCCGGUGCAGAGUGAAGAAAAUAUGGUCCAGUCUUAUGGUCAAUCAGGACAGCAACAAGCAGUCUCUUAGCAGCAACCUUCUCAUAGCACAUUCCGACCGCCUGCUGUGAGAGGGGGAAGGGGAGGCCGAACUUUUGGAGGCAGGUUCAAUGCACCCCCAAGAAAACAUUUUGUUUGUUUUGUGGUGACGACAAAGGCCACACAACAAGAACCUAUCACCAUACAAUCAACAAGUAAAAAGAGCUUCCUUUGUCAGCCACUCAACCUUCCCAGUAAAAAGAGCAUUUGAAUUGUUGAAGUUGUGGAUAAUAUGGGUUAGUUAAUGUGGAGCUUCAGUCCAAUAUCUACACUUAUAGGUUUUAUUGAAGUGAAGUGAUAGUUCACUGUUGUGCAGCAUUAGCUAAACAACUAUUUAUUAUUGGUAAAAAAUUCACAACAUCUGAAGUUGUGAUGUAAUUUGAGAAUGCUAACAAAUUAAAGUGUUAGAAACUCAUGAACAAACUUGGGACCAAGAGUUAAUCAAGAUUGCUUAGGUACCAUUUAUUAAUAUUCAAACACAAUCAUUAUAUAUACACACUAUUCCUAUAAUCUUUAUUAUUCGAUUGUGAUAUAUCUUUAUUUACUAAUUAAUUACACACUUUUAAAUCCAUGUUCAUAGUUUUCCCUCUUUGUAUCUGACCUCCUUGUGUUUGGUUGAAACCUUAGGUCGAGCUAUAUGUUCAUUGUGGAAAUAUAUAGAUCUCUACUUGGUUGUCAUGAUGACACAAAUUCCUAGAGAGUAUCAAUAUUUUCUUGGCUGGAUUUGUUCCAACAGAAAAUCUUCCCGAGAUGAAUCUCUUACAUUUAAGAUAACAUAUCUGCAUGCUACUUGAGCUCCUUAUCCUAUCUUUAAACUUUGCUUUGCAUUACUGUUGUACUUCUAGAUUGUGGAGACUCAAGAAAACACUAAGGAUAUUGAGACGUAUCAGCGGUAUAAG